rnacentral:rRNA from 1 species
AACUAACGCUGGCGGCGUGCCUAACACAUGCAGGUCGUACGAGAAAGCCGGCUUCGGCUGGUGAGUAAAGUGGCGCACGGGUGAGUAACGCGUGGAUAAUCUGCCCUUAAGUGUGGAAUAACGUACCGAAAGGUGCGCUAAUACCGCAUAAUGCCUGGCAACACAAGUUGUCCGGCCAAAGAAGGCCUCUGUUUACAAGCUUUCGCUUCAGGAUGAGUCCGCGUACCAUUAGCUUGUUGGUGGGGUAAUGGCCUACCAAGGCUGCGAUGGUUAGCUGGUCUGAGAGGAUGAUCAGCCACACUGGAACUGAGACACGGUCCAGACUCCUACGGGAGGCAGCAGUGAGGAAUAUUGCGCAAUGGGGGCAACCCUGACGCAGCAACGCCGCGUGAGUGAGGAAGGUUUUCGGACUGUAAAGCUCUGUCGAGCGGGAAGAAGUGUACCAUGGCUAAUAUCCAUGAUAUUUGACGGUACCGCUAGAGG